UGACCUGUGGUACCCCACCCCCUCGUUUACCACAACUAACGUUACAGUUCUCUCUCGCUCUCUCCCCCCUCUUUCCAUGGCAGAGCCUUUCCCCAUCUCCAUGACCAUUUUUGGCUAACAAUUCAACUAUUCUUCAGCCAUGGUAGAGUAUUGUCGUACCAUAUUCGGGUAAAUCUCUGUCUCUCUUGCUUUAUCUUUUCAAGAUCCAUGUCGUUCUGUGAUCUCCUUCAAUUUGGUCAACAUAAAAGACCAAAAUUACGUUUGAAAUCUCUGUGGGAGAAUCACCAAGGCAGAGAUUCAAUUUCAAACGGCUACUUUUCAAAAUCAAAUCUGAAAAAUUCCCGCUCAAGAAGCCCUAGAUAUAAUCUGCUGUUAUAAAUACCUGCAUUUGGCCUUAAUUUCGGACCAGCUCAUAGUCGCCGCUACUCCCCUCCAAACUUUCGAAAUACCUUCUACUUCAUACAUAUCCUCCAUAAAUAUAGCUUUAAAUCGUGUUUCAUUGCUCAUCUUCUCCCCUCUCAGAUCUUUGUUGGCCUUCAGCCGUGACAAAGAUUUGUCGGUCUGAUUGUGUCGCUUGGGUCGUGAAGGAGGUUUGAAGCGGAGAUUCGAGUAGUCAUUGGCAAACCCCAGUUUACUGCCCUGCAAAAGCUAACAUGGAGUCUUAAUGCAAGACUCUCCAUACCCGAGCACGGAAUCAUCACAUCCAAUGUUCUUAUAGAGUCACCGAAUAACAAGAAAACAAGCAAAUUUGCUUGGGGUCGCUUAUGGCGGCUUUCAUUAUUCUUUACUCAUUCUGUCUAAAUAUAUUUGUUAACUUUUGGUGGCUUGGUUUUGUUUUUAUCUAUAACUGAUGAUUAAUCUUUUCAUGAGGGAUUACAACUCUAAUUUUAGUAAGGCAUUUUGUUGAUUAAGGACUUUAAAGAUUUAUCACC